AUGUUAAGGUUCACUCGGGCGCCAGCCGCAGCCAGGGAAGUGGCGGCGGCCCCUACCCGUCCUCUUCCCAAAGCGGCGCCCGGGCCACUGUGGCCGAAGCACUGUGGGAGCGCGAGCCUGAGAAGCCGGGAGCCACGCUGCCGAAGGGCGGCCCGCCGGCGCCCACCCGAGCUCGCACGACUUCCGGCCCGAGAGGAGACGCAUUCGAGUGAUCACCAGGAGCAAACUUGGCGCCCGCAGCCUUGGGCCUGGGAGAGUUGCCCUGAGGACUGGACACCCCCUACCUUCCUGGCUUCCAGGGUUCUGGACCCCACCGACAGGCGGCAGGACCCCCUCUGCCCCCCGCCCGACACCCCGUCAGUGAACCCUGACCUCGACCAAGUGUUGCCUUCAUCUCUCAAAAGUCUUGUGCAAUUCGGCGUCUUGCAGCAGUGCCUGCGAACCCGAGUGAGUCCGUCGCUCCCUCCGCGAAAACCUCGACCCUUUUCCGGAAGCCUUGGGCUCCAGCACCCAUGCCUGCUGCAGCCGCCAAAGAGCGGAAAGCCCCAGACUCUGCGGGUCUUGGUUAAGCGUCUCUGGUCGUGCCUGGUCUCCUGCAUCUGUUCCACUGCCCGGCCAUCUCCCUCGUGCAGCCCAGAACAAUUGAGAGGAAGCGUUGGCGGGCUGCGGGGAAUGACUGUUGGGUUUUUCCACUAG
rnacentral:lncRNA from 1 species